rnacentral:lncRNA from 10 species
GGCAAAGUCAAAUUAAAUUCCAUCGUCAAAAAAGGCUGCCAGCUGGUGUUUGAGUUGAAACCUUUUUGCCAAGAAGGAAGGCGCUAUAUUCCUUGUCCAGGAAGAUGCUAUGGCUCUGCUCUCACAAGUGGAUUAAUGCUGUUAUCAUGAGAGUGGGUUAGUUGCCACUAGAAUGAGUUUCUGAUAAAAGGGAAGAAAUCUUAAAAGUUUGAGAAGAAAAUAUGGUAAAUAACUAAGAGAAAUCUCUGGUCAAUACUCAACAAGUCCUUCAGUCCAACAAUAUUCCAUACAUGAAAUCCUGCCAAAAACCAGACUCAGCACCAAACACACGAGAUGAAACAUAAGAUGCAUAAACACAACCCUUGCCUUUGAAGAAAAUUUGCACUAAUGGCAGAGAUGGGUGCUGUAUGAGUGAGCUGUGGCUGCCAUAGCAAGACAUCAUAGAUUGGAUGGCUUAAACAACAGAAAUUUAUUUUUUCACAGUUCUGGAGGCCAGAAAUCCCCAAUAAAGGAACUGGAUUGAAGAUAAGAUUGGAGGACCACAAUUUCACCAGUACGUUACUUAGAAUAAGCAACUAGGUCCUCACAACAAUCCCUAUUUUCCAGAUGAGAGUGUUGAGGCUCAGAGAGGUAAGCAAAUUGUUUAACUUAUUCCAGCUCUCAAG